UACAGAGGUGGCAAGCGUUGUUCGGAAUUACUGGGCGUAAAGGGCGCGUAGGCGGCCUUCUAAGUCAGACGUGAAAUCCCCCGGCUUAACCUGGGAACUGCGUCUGAUACUGGGAGGCUUGAGUAUGGGAGAGGGAUGUAGAAUUCCAGGUGUAGCGGUGAAAUGCGUAGAUAUCUGGAGGAACACCGGUGGCGAAGGCGGCAUUCUGGACUAUUUCUGACACUGAUGAACGAAAGCCAGGGGAGCAAACGGG
rnacentral:rRNA from 1 species